rnacentral:misc_RNA from 1 species
AAAAAAAAAAAAAACUAAAGAAAAGAAAGGAAGGAAAACUAAAGGAGGUUUGCAUGAACAUUUGGAAUCUUUUUCUGUUGUAUUAAGUUAGUGAUAAACUAAAGAAGGUUCUUAUCUCCUAUAUUUUUUGAGUUUUAAUUUAUCUGGUCCAAUGCCUUAAUGUUGACUCUGCAGCUUACUGCUAACUCCGGAAAUGUUUACUUAGGUGCAGCAUCAUUCCUCUGUUUUGAUUGCAAUUUUCCUUUUUAGUCUUAGAUUUUUUAACAUGACUGAGAAGCAUAACUGAAUGUGGUCUUUAAGAUUUAAGACAUGCUUUUGCUGCAACUCAAUAGAUUCCAUUUUAUAUUUCCAGUAUGUGGAGAAUGAUGGCUCUUUCUGUUGGAUGUCAGGAUAUUUGGCACUGAUAAAGGUUACAGAAAGUUGAAGGCGCUGAAAAGUACCGGAGAGGGAGAGGAAGAUGGCGGCAAGCAAAUGCAAUA